rfam:TPA: Bos taurus chromosome 17, whole genome shotgun sequence.
UUUCUGGUGGUUCAGUGGCUAGGACUCUGCACUCCCAAUUCAGGGGGCCUGGGUUCGAUUCCUGGUCAGGAAA